GAUGAUCGCGCCUGCAAGCGCCGAAAGGCCGCAGGUGAGGAAAGUCCGAGCUUCACAGGGCAGGAUGCCGGAUAACGUCCGGUGGAGGUGACUCCCAGGCCAGUGCAACAGAAAUAAACCGCCUGCAUUUGCAGGUAAGGGUGGAAAGGCGGGGUAAGAGCCCACCGCCCUGCCGGUAACGGCAGGGGCACAUGUAAACCCCAUCCGAAGCAAGACCGAACAGAAAGCGAUACGGCGGCCCGUCGUGCUUUCGGGUAGGUCGCUGGAGCUUGCCGGCAACGGUAAGCCAAGAUAGAUGAUCAUCCACGACAGAACUCGGCUUACAGCGCUGCUCAU
rnacentral:RNase_P_RNA from 1 species